AACGAACGCUGGCGGCAUGCCUAACACAUGCAAGUCGAACGAGACCUUCGGGUCUAGUGGCGCACGGGUGCGUAACGCGUGGGAACCUGCCCUUAGGUUCGGAAUAACUCCCCGAAAGGGGUGCUAAUACCGGAUAAUGUCUUCGGACCAAAGAUUUAUCGCCUUUGGAUGGGCCCGCGUUGGAUUAGCUAGUUGGUAGGGUAAAAGCCUACCAAGGCGACGAUCCAUAGCUGGUCCGAGAGGAUGAUCAGCCACACUGGGACUGAGACACGGCCCAGACUCCUACGGGAGGCAGCAGUGGGGAAUAUUGGACAAUGGGCGAAAGCCUGAUCCAGCAAUGCCGCGUGAGUGAUGAAGGCCUUAGGGUUGUAAAGCUCUUUUACCCGGGAUGAUAAUGACAGUACCGGGAGAAUAAGCGCCGGCUAACUCCGUG
rnacentral:rRNA from 1 species